AUGAACGCUGGCGGCGUGUUUAAGGCAUGCAAGUCGUGCGACGUGUUCCCGCAAGGGAAUUACGAGCGGCAGACGGGUGAGUAACACAUUAGUAACCUACCUCUAAGACGGGGACAGCCUUCCGAAAGGAAGAUUAAUAUCCGAUAGUCAUGCGGGGACACAAGUCAUUCGCAUGUAAAGCUUCGGCGCUUAGAGAGGGGCUUAUGGCCCAUCAGCUAGUUGGUAAGGUAAAAGCUUACCAAGGCUAUGACGGGUAGCAGGCGUGAGAGCGUGACCUGCCUCACUGGGACUGAGACACUGCCCAGACACCUACGGGUGGCUGCAGUCAAGAAUAUUCCACAAUGGGCGAAAGCCUGAUGGAGCGACGCCGCGUGCAGGAUGAAGGGCUUCGGCCUGUAAACUGCUUUUAUAGGGGACGAAUUCGUGACGGUACCCUACGAAUAAGAGGUUGCUAACUCUGU
rnacentral:rRNA from 1 species